rnacentral:rRNA from 1 species
AGCUCGUAGGCGGUUUGUCGCGUCUGCCGUGAAAGUCCGGGGCUCAACUCCGGAUCUGCGGUGGGUACGGGCAGACUAGAGUGAUGUAGGGGAGACUGGAAUUCCUGGUGUAGCGGUGAAACGCGCAGAUAUCAGGAGGAACACCGAUGGCGAAGGCAGGUCUCUGGGCAUUAACUGACGCUGAGGAGCGAAAGCAUGGGGAGCGAACAGGAUUAGAUACCCUGGUAGUCCAUGCCGUAAACGUUGGGCACUAGGUGUGGGGGACAUUCCACGUUUUCCGCGCCGUAGCUAACGCAUUAAGUGCCCCGCCUGGGGAGUACGGCCGCAAGGCUAAAACUCAAAGGAAUUGACGGGGGCCCGCACAAGCGGCGGAGCAUGCGGAUUAAUUCGAUGCAACGCGAAGAACCUUACCAAGGCUUGACAUGAACCGGACCGCUGCAGAAAUGUGGUUUCCCCUUUGGGGCUGGUUUACGGGUGGUGCAUGGUUGUCGUCAGCUCGUGUCGUGAGAUGUUGGGUUAAGUCCCGCAACGAGCGCAACCCUCGUUCUAUGUUGCCAGCACGUGAUGGUGGGGACUCAUAGGAGACUGCCGGGGUCAACUCGGAGGAAGGUGGGGACGACGUCAAAUCACCAUGCCCCUUAUGUCUUGGGCUUCACGCAUGCUACAAUGGCCGGUACAAAGGGUUGCGAUACUGUGAGGUGGAGCUAAUCCCAAAAAGCCGGUCUCAGUUCGGAUUGGGGUCUGCAACUCGACCCCAUGAAGUCGGAGUCGCUAGUAAUCGCAGAUCAGCAACGCUGCGGUGAAUACGUUCCCGGGCCUUGUACACACCGCCCGUCAAGUCACGAAAGUUGGUAACACCCGAAGCCGGUGGCCUAACCCCUUGUGGGAGGGAGC